GGUUUUAUGGUGUAACGGUUAGCACUCCAGACUCUGAAUCUGGCGAUCUGGGUUCAAAUCCCUGUAAAACCU
rnacentral:tRNA from 1 species